rnacentral:lncRNA from 1 species
AGCCCAACUCCUUUGGGCUUGCAUCAGAUUGCUGAACUAGGUCACCAGGCAGGAGAUUCCAUCUGGAGAACCACUGCCGUGGAGGAAGCUUGUGCAAGCAUGUUGUCCUGUUUGGAUCAUCCCUGAGAUCGGGACAGCAUGGCUUGACCUCCUGUGUACUGAGUUGUUGAUGUUUACAGCACUAAUUGCAGCUGAGAGGCACUUCGCUUGCAACAUCAGACCUUGCCCAUGGUAAGAGAUGCUUGUGUUCUGCAGACAUGACCCAGUUCUGCACCAGCUUUAAAAGGACCUCAGUCUUACAGCCUUUUGCUGCAUGAGUUGGGCAAUGACAAAGCAUUAAUCCAAGCCAGAGGAAGGAGACAUAUGGCCCCAUUAGCUGCUCUUUUCCAGCUCUUUGUUUCAUCCAACCUUCCCUCAGAGAGCCUUUCUGCCACCACUGGUUCUGGGUAAACUGAAAUGAGACUCAACUGGAGAGGGAAGAACUUGGGACCUACUAUUCGCCAAUUGAUGCUUCUGGAGAGGAACAGAAGCAACAAAUUGAUCUCUGCCCAAGCUUACGCUACAAAGAAGGAACGAAGAAAGAAAUGCAUCUGGGCUUGUAUCCAAUUGGAUUACUGUCAACCUCUUCCAGCUGAGAAGGGAAAAGACAUGUAUUGAUGGUCACCGAAAUGAGAUGGAACAAAAGACAGCAACCUGAGCAGAGAAGAAAAGGUACUCUUUAAACAGUUGUAUUUUGAUGGUGUAUUAUUCUGGUCCUUCAGAGCUUCCUGCAUACCCCUCUAUGCCAAGUAAUCCCCUCUUAUUUUUUUUACUUCUUUUUGCCUCAAGGACUUUUAUGAUUAUUUUUUGUAACAAAAUUCAAUUGUCCUCCUUUCCUCUCAGCUGCCCUUCGUCACAAGCCACAUGGCGCAUUUUCAGGCCUUUGUAACCUACAAAAGCCUACUGCUCCCCUGUUUUUGUGAUCUGGAAGAUGCAAAGAUCUGGAACCAAGGGUUUUUUGAUUGUGUUGAAGAAAAGGCCUCUCAGUUAUUUCCAUUUGUCACAUUUUUCUGUAUGUACCUCAUUUUUGGAUUUUUUUUGGCUGCCGUUGUAUAACCCGUGGUCACAUUCGAGAGUGAAAACAUAAUUUUCCUUCCCUGCAGUAUUCUGUGAGUCACCAACCACCCAAAAAGUUUGACUGUUAGCCGGCUUAGCUGCUGAGAUACAAAUGGAGAUAGGUCCAGCCAACUGUAGUGCCCAAGGGACUUCAGCCCCAGCCUGCCUGUGUGAUGCCAGAUUAAAUCCUUUCAAUGCAGACUAUCACAAGUGUUUUGCUGCCUAAUAUCUAUUGUGAUGGCAGGAUCCAGUUGGCUAGAUACUUUUUUUAGAAUCUUUCCAUUUUCUUUUCUCAUUUUGCUAUAAAGACCUUCAAAAAUGGUAUUUUUUCUCAGAAUGAGAUACAAUCUUGGUUAAUCCACCUAUUUUUAUUGCUCUGUUUAUUCACGGAACGACAACCUAUCCCGCCAUCCCAACCAUAUCCCCCAUAGCACACUAACUCUGACCACGUGGAUGCCUGCUUAAUUUUAACGAUAGUUUGGUGUCCCUUUCAUUUGAGCAUGCACCAACGAACUUUAGUCAUUAAGGGUCUUUGCAGAAAUGUCUUGGCUGUGGCUUUAAC